rnacentral:rRNA from 1 species
AUUGAACGCUGGCGGCAUGCCUAACACAUGCAAGUCGAACGGCAGCACGGGGCAACCUGGUGGCGAGUGGCGAACGGGUGAGUAAUGCAUCGGAACGUACCUUUCAGUGGGGGAUAACGUAGCGAAAGUUACGCUAAUACCGCAUAUUCUGUGAGCAGGAAAGCAGGGGAUCGCAAGCCCUUGCGCUGAUUGAGCGGCCGAUGUCAGAUUAGCUAGUUGGUGAGGUAAAGGCUCACCAAGGCGACGAUCUGUAGCGGGUCUGAGAGGAUGAUCAGCCACACUGGAACGGAGCUACGUCCCGGACUACUACGGGAGGCAGCAGUGGGGAAAUUUGGACAAUGGGGGCAACCCUGAUCCAGCCAUGCCGCGUGGGUGAAAAAGGCCUUCGGGUUGUAAAGCUCUUUCGGCCGGGAAGAAAUCGCACGGGCUAAUACCCUGUGUGGAUGACGGUACCGGAAUAAGAAGCACCGGCUAACUACGUGCCAGCAGCCGCAGUAAUAC